rnacentral:rRNA from 1 species
UACUUCUUCGGACAAUAGUACAAGGUGCUGCAUGGUUGUCGUCAGCUCGUGCCGUGAGGUGUCGGGUAAGUCCCAUAACGAGCGCAACCCCUAUCAUUAGUUGCCAUCAGGUCAAGCUGGGGACUCUAAUGAAACUGCCUACGCAAGUAGUGAGGAAAGGCGGGGAUGACGUCAAAUCAGCACGGCCCUUACGUCCAGGGCUACACACGUGUUACAAUGGCCAGUACAGAGGGCAGCCACCCCGCGAGGGGGCGCUAAUCCUAAAAGCUGGUCCCAGUUCGGAUCGGAGUCUGCAACCCGACUCCGUGAAGCUGGAUUCGCUAGCAAUCGCGCAUCAGCCACGGCGCGGUGAAUACGUUCCCGGGCCUU